UACGUAGGGGCUAGCGUUGCUCGGAAUCACUGGGCGUAAAGGGUGCGUAGGCGGGUCUUUAAGUCAGGGGUGAAAUCCUGGAGCUCAACUCCAGAACUGCCUUUGAUACUGAGGAUCUUGAGUUCGGGAGAGGUGAGUGGAACUGCGAGUGUAGAGGUGAAAUUCGUAGAUAUUCGCAAGAACACCAGUGACGAAGGCGGCUCACUGGCCCGAUACUGACGCUGAGGCACGAAAGCGUGGGGAGCAAACAGG
rnacentral:rRNA from 1 species